rnacentral:lncRNA from 1 species
UAUCUAAAAAAGAAUCGAUUUCGAUUUCAUUCAACGUUUGAUUCAAAGAACUGCGCUUAGCCCCCCCGCUCAUGAAACGACUCUGUUGCAAUGGAUAGCAGAGGGUCCGUAGUACCCGAAGCACUGGAGUGAUCCAGUAGCCGGAAAGGGGCCUAGAAGUGCCUACUACUACACCACACUACACUUGGCUCUACACAUUUACAG